rnacentral:lncRNA from 1 species
CUUGAUUAUCUCUAUCCAUUACAGGGGAUCUCUGCUGUUACGUGACACUUCCUACGGCUCCCAUGAGCUCUCAGAAGGCGGCAAAAAGCUGAAUCGUGGCUUUGCAGGCUCUGGCUGAAAAAAAGUAGCUCGUUUGGUAGUGGCUGGUCACAGUACUGUGAGACUCAGGCACAUGCACGAGGGGACUCCAUGUUUUAUCUUUGAACGAAAACCACCGCUCCCGGUCGGGAAUAUUAUCGCUUUUUUACGAGAAAAAUGGCAUAAAAAUUGAUUUUAAACAGCGGCUGACAUGCUUCGAAGUACGGUAAUGGAAUAUUUAGAAUUUUUUUGUCACGAAAUGCGUCAUGCGCGUGACCCUUAUUUACACUUCGGAUAGUGUCUUGAACGCACGAACAAAACGCCGCUAUUUGGAUAUAACUAUGGAUUAUUUUGGACCAAACCAACAUUUGUUAUUGAAGUAGCAGUCCUGGGAGUGCAUUCUGACGAAGAACACCAAAGACAAUACCGUGUGGUGCCUGGGCUUCUUUCUGGAGUGGAUUAUAGGCAAAGAAGAGGCCGGACUUGGAGGGGACAGCUGUUCACUCAUACCAGUGACUGGCUCACAAGGCAGAGGGGAUGAUGAGCGAGCACCAGAAUAUUUAAAGAAGAAAAGAUAAAACAAUUUAGGCAAAAAUUACAAUGUGUAAGACAUUUCUUUAACUUAGGCGCACACAGCGUAAAGCCCUGCAUGGCUGCAUUAUUUACCCCAUAUAUUGUUUCACUUCCGAGAGGAGUAAAACUUUUCUUCUCCUGACACUGAUGCCACAACACUG